rnacentral:lncRNA from 1 species
GGAGAAAGGAAGAAUUUCCAACAUGGUUGGACAGACAAGAUUCCCAUGAGAUUUCAGGAUUCUACUUAAAGCAGGGCACACAUGGAAACUCAGGAAUUACCUAUAUUGAAUACUUUAAUGGACAUGCUCCAUGUAAUCCUUUUUUGGUCUGUGGUUGAGAAUAGGACUGAGAGAAAACCCAGACCUCUUUCCCACUCCAUGGCUCCCAGGAAACUACAAAGACAAGAACUGCCAAGACAGGGUCCUGUAUGCUUGGAUAUAAUGAACAGCAGGAAAGGGUCCAUCAGUGAUGGAGGAGAGACUGAGGGUGAGAGACUUGAGUAGCAAAGGCUGUGCUGGCUUCUCCAGGUCGUGGAAGCAUUGGAUGAGUACUCUAGCACCCCCA